ACAACCUUCAGAUGAUGAAGUCUUCAGAACUUCCUGACUGACUACAAGCUUCGUCAAACUCUGAAGAUCUUCUUGAAAUCUGUGAAGAUUCUCUUUGCAAGUCAACUCUUCUACCAAUGAAGAAAAGGACCUUUCAAGCCUGAUCAGUUCAGCUACUCUCGUUUUUGUCUGUACUCUCUUGAGAACGUGGGUCUUCAGUUUUGUUAGCUGAAUAAGGAAAGUCCACUCUGCUGUAGUCAAAGUAGCUGAAACUCUUACUCAGUUUUGGAUACAAACAAACUGCAUCAAGACAGGCUGUUUGAAGACAAAAGAUUAUCUACUUCAACGGUUCUUUUUGCAACGACUCUUUUCUAGUGGUAUAUAUACUAGAAGAAUCAGCUACAACAAAAAACAAUGAUCAAGGAUUGAACGUGCGCUGAACAAACUCUGAAUACUGUGUAUACAAGCUCUGAACCUCUGAUUAAGUGUUUUUGCACUUUAGUCAAAUACUCUGUACUCUCUGUAUUGGCUCUCCUUAGGUUCUUCUAAGAGCAUCUGUAUAUUUUCAUAUACUCUACUUUUACUUGAGAAACUUAAGCUUGUGUGCUUGAGUAAGUUGUCUUAAGCUUGUGUGCUUAAGA
rnacentral:lncRNA from 1 species